rnacentral:rRNA from 1 species
GGGUCAGUAGGUUGGUCGUGCCACCGGUACGUACUGGUCUCACUGAUCCCUCCUUCCUGAAGAACCGUAGUGCCAUUAAUUUGGUGUUGCGGGGAAACAGGACUGUUACUUUGAAAAAAUUAGAGUGUUUAAAGCAAGCUAACGCUUGAAUACAUUAGCAUGGAAUGAUGAAAUAGGACGAUCGAUCCUAUUUUGUUGGUUUCUAGGAUUGACGUA